ensembl:lncRNA
CAUGGCGGGGUCAUGGUAUGGCCAUGGCGGGGUCAUGGUAGGGUCAUGGUAUGGUCAUGGUAGGGUUAUGGUAUGGUCAUGGUCAUGGCAGGGUCAUGGCAUGGUCAUGGUAUGGUCAUGGUCAUGGCGGGGUCAUGGUAGGGUCAUGGUAUGGUCAUGGUCAUGGCGGGGUCACGGUAGGGUCAUGGUAUGGUCAUGGUCAUGGCAGGGUCAUGGCAGGCUCAGGUCAGUGAUUGUCUUGUAUCAGUCGGGAUUGGUUGUCUCUGGUUCGCUACGGCUGCAGAUGAAGAGGAUCUCACGGAGCUUUGAAGGGUCUUCUAGAGAGGCCGGUCCAUGAGCUGUUUGCUCCGCUCAGUUGGUUCCAGUGAAUCAACUCUACUUGUGUCGGGUCAUGAAACACAGAUGUGCAGGCUGGAAUAAAGGGGGGAAUCCCCAAAACGCCUAAAUGAAAACCAACUUCAGUUCCACUUGUUUUGAAUCACAAAAACAGACGUCUUGGCUUCAUUUCCUUGGUUUCCUUGUCUCCUAUGUGAGGACGGAGGCUCAACAUUAACUCCAGUGUUUCCCCAUAGUUUACAACUUCAGGGGGGGUAGUCGGGCAAAUUGUAACAGGGUGCCCCCCUGUUACAAUGGGAGGGGAAACACUGAACUCCAUGAUAAUGAUCCGGCUCCACGUAGAGCGGAUGUAAGUUCGUCUGUACUCUCAAAGGAGACAUUUUUAUUAUUCAGAGCAUUUUGAAGAGAACUGAGGCAGCAGAACUUCCUUGUUUGUCUGACAUAUUUUGGCAAUAAAUGUUUCCUGAUUCCUGAGGACGAUUAGUGUCUCCAGAUUAGUUUCUAUACGAAUCCCUCGUCUUCUUCAAUACAGCAUGAUGUCCAUCUAGUAAAUGAUGACGUCUGAACACACGAGGACACACAGACGGCUCCCAAGGCGAGGACAGUGACCUCUGCUUAAUGAAUCAACCAAAGCCUCUAAUUGGCCGGUUAAGGUCCCUGUCAAGUCCCGCCUCCUGGCAUCACACACACACACACAGCUCUUCACACAUGCUGUAUAUGAAUCAUUGCAGCUGCAGGGACUUCAUGUCCUUCGCCCAGGUGUGUCGGUGUGGAGAGACGUCCUGGCCCCCGUAACCCUGUCAGGGUGGAGCAGCUGACGGAGAAGAGGAGGUUGACCGUUGUAGACCAGAAACCAGGAGGGACCAGGAUGGCCCGGGUCCACCAGAGAGACCAGACAAACCUUUUCACUGUCACAGAGGAAGGUCAAAUGUGUGUGUGUGUGUGUGUGUGUGUGUGUCCCGGGGAGAUUUAAAGUGUGUGUUGCGGAGCCUUAAAUAAACACCAGCCUGGUAAUGUAUAUUGAAUAUCAAAACCUUCCUAUGCGUUGUGCUCUCAGGUUUGUGUGUGUUUGUGUGUGUUUGUGCGUGCUGUUGUCACGGAGACGUGGUUGUGGACAAGCUCUUGUUGUGAUUCCUCAGGAGAGCCGGACAGAAGGAUUAUGAGACAGGAAAGUGACACCCGUAAAAGACACAAUAAAAGCCCCAGAAUGCCGAUAAAACCCGUUAAACCUGAUAAAACCCCUUUAGAAGUCCAGAAUACUAAAAAACACAAAAAGGUCAGAAGCAGCUGAUGACUUGAGGUCAACUGAGACGAGCAGGAGGAUUAUGGUGAUGAAGGUCUCCUCUCUCUCUCCUUGUUUUUACUACAACGCUCUCUGUGAAUGUAAGACACACUCACACACACACACACACACACACACCCUGACACGUGUGUGUCGUCUGUUUCAUUUCCUGACUCACUAUCGUUUUUCUCUGCAGUCGUCAAAAUAGGAUUAGAGCGUUUAAUAAAGGAUGAUUCCCACCAUGAGGAAAUGACUCCACUGUACAACACACACACAGACACACACACACACACACACACACACACACACACACACACACACACACACCUCAGCGUCUUCACUGCUCAGCCACUCAGUUUCCACCAGGUUAUUAAACACCUGAAGGCUUAUAUAAGCUUGCAUACAUACACACGGAUGCUACUGCUCCUCCACACACGCUGCAGCCUCACCCUCCAUGAAUGUGGUGGUGGUGUGUGGUGUUAGGUGGUGUUUGGUGGUGUGUGGUGUUAGGUGGUGUUUGGUGGUGUGUGGUGUUAGGUGGUGUUUGGUGGUGUGUGGUGUUAGGUGGUGUUAGGUGGUGUGUGGUGUUAGGUGGUGAUGGGUGGUGUGGUGGUGUUAGGUGGUGUUGGGUGGUGUGGUGGUGUUAUGUGGUGUGAUGUGGUGAUGGGUGGUGUGGUGGUGUUAGGUGGUGAUGGGUGGUGUGGUGGUGUGUGGUGAUGGGUGGUGUGUGGUGAUGGGUGGUGUAGUGCUGGGUUUCUGGUGACCCCGUGUGAUCGUGGGAGGGGGUUCGGUGUCUCCAUGUGACUGGAGACCAGUUUCUAAACAGGAAGUCAACAUGACGUCAGCAGAUUUCUACUGAUUCAAACAGUCAAUUAAGAACAACGGGGAGAAGAUGUGUGUCAUUGUUUGUUGUGUAUCUCUGUUCCCAGUGACUUAAGUUGGUUUGGUGUGACACACACACACACACACACUCACACACACACUCACACACACAGUCACACACACACUCACACACACAUGCAGGUGGUGUGCGAUCCGAUCCGUCUGAUUGGACAUGGAGGGUUUUCCUCGUGAGGCGGAUCGUUCCCAGACAGGAAGUGCUGAGGGAGAAAGAUAAGAGAGCGGGAGGAAGGGGAAGAAGAUCUUCAUCAUCACAGCAGCUGGACCAAGUGGACCUUCCAGACCUGAGGGUCUCCUGCCUGAGGAACGUCCCUGAGGGAACACCUGACACCUGAAACCAAUUACAUCUUUUUCACAUUUUGCCCGGGGAGCAAUUAGGGGUCAGAUGUCUUGCUCAGGGACACUUCAACAUGGAACAUGGGGCAGCCUGGAAUCGAACCACCAACCUUGUGCUUCCCAGCACACCUUCUCUAACCCCGGCGCCACGACGACCCCCAAAUGAGAGUAGAGAGCAAAGUGCACGAGGACGACAGGAAGAGUCCAACAUGUUCACACUGAAAUAACCUUAAACAACAGUGUCGAUUACACACAUUCUUACGUGCUAAUAGACUUUCUCUGCAGAGUUUUAGAUGUAGAUGUUUCUCCGUCUGACCAUCUGUGUGUGUGUUUGUUUUGUAAUGUUUGUACCGUAUUAAAUCACAAUAACAAUAAGACACACUGAACUGUUGACUGGCCGCUUGUUGGUUCCAUUUACACACCAGCCGGGGUUUUCUUUGUCUUCAUCUUGUUCAUCUUAGUUUA